rnacentral:rRNA from 1 species
AGAUUGAACGCUGGCGGCAUGCCUUACACAUGCAAGUCGAACGGCAGCACGGGAGCAAUCCUGGUGGCGAGUGGCGAACGGGUGAGUAAUAUAUCGGAACGUGCCCAGUCGUGGGGGAUAACGCAACGAAAGCUGUGCUAAUACCGCAUACGAUCUAUGGAUGAAAGCGGGGGAUCGCAAGCCUCGCGCGAUUGGAGCGACCGAUAUCAGAUUAGCUAGUUGGUAGGGGUAAAGCCUACCAAGGCGACGAUCUGUAGCUGGUCUG